GUAGGUGAACCUGCGGAAGGAUCAUUAAUGAGUUAGGGUCUUUCAGGCCCGAUCUCCAACCCUUUGUAUAACUACCAUGUUGCUUUGGCGGGCCCGUCUUUCACCGGACCGCCGGGAGUUUUCAACCCCUGGCCAGUGCUCGUCAAUAGCCCUUAACAAACUCUUUUAACCAUGUUAAAUCUGAAAAUAUUAAAUAAACUAAAACUUUCAACAACGGAUCUCUUGGUUCUG
rnacentral:misc_RNA from 1 species